GCCUGUUCGAGCGUCAUUAACACCACUCAAGCCUGGCUUGGUAUUGGAGUUCGCACACCAGCGGCUCUCAAACUCAGUGGCGGCGCCGAUUGGCUCUUCGCGUAGUAAUGCUCUCGCGAUAGGGUUCGUCGGUAGCUUGCCAGCAACCCUAACUUCUUAAGGUUGACCUCGGAUCAGGUAGGGAUACCCGCUGAACUUAA
rnacentral:misc_RNA from 1 species